rnacentral:rRNA from 1 species
AAAAUAAUAAAAGAAAAAGAAAUUCUAAACGGUGGAUCACUCGGCUCGUGGAUCGAUGAAGAACGCAGCUAACUGCGCGUCGAAUUGUGAACUGCAGGACACAUGAACAUCGACGUUUCGAACGCACAUUGCAGCCCUCGGAUUUUGUUCCCGGGCUACGCCUGGCUGAGGGCCGGC